rnacentral:rRNA from 1 species
CUACGGGCGGCUGCAGUGGGGAAUAUUGCACAAUGGGCGCAAGCCUGAUGCAGCAACGCCGCGUGAGGGACGACGGCCUUCGGGUUGUAAACCUCUUUUAGCAGGGAAGAAGCGAAAGUGACGGUACCUGCAGAAAAAGCACCGGCUAACUACGUGCCAGCAGCCGCGGUAAUACGUAGGGUGCAAGCGUUGUUCGGAAGUAUUGGGCGUAAAGAGCUCGUAGGCGGUUUGUCGCGUCUGCUGUGAAAAUCCGAGGCUCAACCUCGGACCUGCAGUGGGUACGGGCAAACUAGAGUGCGGUAGGGGAGAUUGGAAUUCCUGGUGUAGCGGUGGAAUGCGCAGAUAUCAGGAGGAACACCAAUGGCGAAGGCAGAUCUCUGGGCCGUAACUGACGCUGAGGAGCGAAAGCGUGGGGAGCGAACAGGAUUAGAUACCCUGGUAGUC